ensembl:snRNA U1 U1 spliceosomal RNA
AGACUUAUCUAGCAGGGAAGAUACCAUGAACAUGAGGGUAGUUUUCCCAAGGCAAGUUUCAACCCUUGCACUGUGGAUGAUGAGAGAUUACUUAAUGGGUACAAUGUAUGUGAUUUGGGUGAUGGAUACUGCAGAAACACUGGCUUACCACUAUGCAAUCUAUGCAUGC